GGCAAGUUGCAUUAUGUAGCUUAUAAUGUGUUUCAGCUUAGAGAGAGACAGGAGGAAGGAUACAUAGGAAAUCAAUAAUAAAUGCAGAGGGAGCUAUAAUGCAAACAGAGAUUACAGUUAGCUACUACAUUAGAAAAGCUUUUAACUGGAAGGAUUUAUUGCAGAUCUCUAAUUCUUUCAGAUGCAAAGCUGCACUAUUACUGUCUAUAGACCUCUUCUGAAGAAGAGCCCAAUGUCGCGAAAAGCAUCAGGAGAGAGUGGCUGGAAUGAGGUAUGGCGACAGAGGGAAGACACAGCCUUGUGAUUAGAUCUCCAGUAAUAGAUUACACCCCUAUAUGCUGGUAUUUGUAUAUUCUAUUGAACCAUGGGAACUCAUCUCCACACAAUAGACCCAUAACAGAGUUGGAAUUUAAAGCUACUAUGAGGACCUUAUGCCAUUACCUGGAAUCUUUCCUGACACAUGUGACAUCAGGGUUCUGAGAAGAAGGGCUGUAGAAAUGUCGUGAAGUUGGCUCAGCUGACACG